AGGCACGUAGCUCAGUUGGUUAGAGCACCACCUUGACAUGGUGGGGGUCGUUGGUUCGAAUCCGAUCGUGCCUACCA
rnacentral:tRNA from 29 species